AGUUUAGCUGGUUUGCAUCAGCUGACUAUUGUGCUGUGCAAAUCCAUGCAAAACUGA
rnacentral:pre_miRNA from 1 species